GAAUCUCAUCAGGGAAGACAUCCUUGUAACGUCCCAUGAGGUCUUGUACUACGUCCGGUACUUCAGGAGCUUCUAAACCUGCCAAACAACCUUCCUUAAAGAUCAUUAGUAGCACCUGUGUCUCACGUUGUAAUGAUUUAAGCACUUGUCCAGAAGUCAUGUAAAGGUUAGUGUUACUUACCUGGCCGUCUGCAUAUCAUGAACUUCUUGAGGGCUGAGAGGUGCUAGGCUGUGCUUCUUGUUGUUGUGGACGAAACUGUAGAUGUUGGUGCGGCCAUGGUGAAGUGUCUCCUUG
rnacentral:lncRNA from 1 species